rnacentral:misc_RNA from 1 species
AACAUCGCGCACCUGCGGGAACCUGCGGAGGGAUCAUUAUCGAGUGUAAUCUACCCCUUUAAAAAAGGGUAGUACCUCCCGUCCUUUGCAGGCCUCUUUUUUUAUUAGGGGGGGCUUUUUAAGACUUUCUGCUUCGGCGGGGUUACUCCCGCCGGAACACCCUCAAAAAAUUCUCGAAAAAAAUCGUUCAGUCCGAGAACUUUUUAAAAAUAAAAUAAAACUUUUAACAAUGGAUCUCAG